AGUAGUAGUAGAGUGUAGUGUAGAGUACUGUAGACUAUUGUAGAGUGUAGGUACUAAUAACUAGACUGAAACUAAAUUAGACUAGAAUCUAGGUCUAGAUACAUUUAGGGCUUACAGACUUAUCAGACUACAGUGUUGCAAUGAGUAGAUCUAGUAAUAUAUAGAUUAAAUUUAGUUUGAAAUUGUUACAGUAGUGCUACUACUUUUCUAAGUAGUAAGUAGUGUAGACUACUAGAAGAGCAAGAUGAUAGAUCUCCAUCAAGCUACAAUAGAGUUUAGUUAGUAGUUAGUUAGUCAUAGUAAUAGUACCAAAAGCAGUGUACUUGGCAAGCAAUUUUCUCACACUUUACUGUGGCUAUUGGUGCUGAUCUUGAACUAAAGGUAAAUGGAACAGCAUGGAUGUGGAUUUUUAGACACAAGGAAGCUGAAUUUAACUUUUAAUGAAGAAUUUAAAUGAUGAUUGUCCAUGAAAAGAAAUAUUAAUCAUAUACAUUGUAAUGCUGUAUUGAUGCAUCUUCUGUUUUAAGUAAUU